GGGCACAGGGACAUGGUGGGCACAGGGACAAGGAGGGCACAGGGACAUGGAGGGCACAGGGACAAGGAGGGCACUGGGACAUGGAGGGCACAGGGACAUGGUGGGCACAGGGACAUGGAGGGCACAGGGACAUGGAGGGCACAGGGACAAGGAGGGCACAGGGACAUGGAGGGCACAGGGACAUGGAGGGCACAGGGACAAGGAGGGCACUCCACUCCAUCCCCCUGCUGGUCUGCGAUCACAUUGUGCUUAACGAUCCAAGCAUGCUUUUGUUAUCAGCGUGCGACUUCUUGUGUUGAAGGUGAUAUAGGAAGAUAAGUGCUAUC